UUCCUAUGCAUAUACUUCUUCGAGGGUCUGGCCUGAAGAGGUGUAGGGCAUGGGAAAA
rnacentral:pre_miRNA from 1 species